rnacentral:ncRNA from 1 species
CCGUCUCAUGAUGCGUCGGGCUGAUCACCGAUGGCUCACAUCAUCUGACGGACAACUAAAUAUCCCAACAGCGAUCUGAUGAGCAAGAGAGCUGCAAUCCCGGAAUGGAGGAAACUCCUACAGGACUGCGGUCGGAUUACUAUUGCCAUUUUGUGCUGUACC